UGGGAUGGUGACCACUAUGAUGCCCUGAGU
rnacentral:piRNA from 1 species